GACGUAGGGUGCAAGCGUUGUCCGGAUUUAUUGGGCGUAAAGAGCUCGUAGGCGGCUUGUUGCGUCGACUGUGAAAACCCGCGGCUUAACUGGGGAACGGCGUCUGAGACUGGCAAGCUUGAGUGCAGGAGAGGAACGCGGAAUUCCAGGUGUAGCGGUGAAAUGCGUAGAUAUCUGGAGGAACACCGGUGGCGAAGGCGGCGUUCUGGACUGUAACUGACACUGAAGAACGAAAGCCAGGGGAGCAAACGGG
rnacentral:rRNA from 1 species